AUUGAACGCUGGCGGCAGGCCUAACACAUGCAAGUCGAACGAGUGGCAGACGGGUGAGUAAUGUCUGGGAAACUGCCCGAUGGAGGGGGCUAACUACUGGAAACGGUAGCUAAUACAGCAUACCAUCGGAUGUUCCCAGAUGGGAUUAGCUAGUAGGUGGGGUAAAGGCUCACCUAGGCGAAGAUCCCUAGCUGGUCUGAGAGGAUGACCAGCCACACUGGAACUGAGACACGGUCCAGACGCCUACGGUAGGCAGCAGUGGGGAAUAGUGCACAAUGGGCGCAAGCCUGAUGCAGCCAUGCCGCGUGUAUGAAGAAGGCCUUCGGGUUGUAAAGUACUUGCAGCGGGGAGGCGUUACCCGCAGAAGAAGCACCGGCUAACUCCGUGCCAGCAGCCGCGGUAAUAC
rnacentral:rRNA from 1 species